GGUCAAGUGAAGAAGCGCAUACGGUGGGAUGCCUUGGCAGUCAGAGGCGAUGAAAGACGUGGUAGCCUGCGAAAAGCUUCGGGGAGUCGGCAAACAGACUUUGAUCCGGAGAUCUCUGAAUGGGGGAACCCACCUAGGAUAACCUAGGUAUCUUGUACUGAAUCCAUAGGUGCAAGAGGCGAACCAGGGGAACUGAAACAUCUAAGUACCCUGAGGAAAAGAAAUCAACCGAGAUUCCCUUAGUAGUGGCGAGCGAACGGGGAUUAGCCCUUAAGCUUCAUUGAUUUUAGCGGAACGCUCUGGAAAGUGCGGCCAUAGUGGGUGAUAGCCCCGUACGCGAAAGGAUCUUUGAAGUGAAAUCGAGUAGGACGGAGCACGAGAAACUUUGUCUGAACAUGGGGGGACCAUCCUCCAAGGCUAAAUACUACUGACUGACCGAUAGUGAACCAGUACCGUGAGGGAAAGGCGAAAAGAACCCCGGAGAGGGGAGUGAAAUAGAACCUGAAACCGUAUGCGUACAAGCAGUGGGAGCCUACUUGUUAGGUGACUGCGUACCUUUUGUAUAAUGGGUCAGCGACUUAUAUUCAGUGGCAAGCUUAACCGUAUAGGGUAGGCGUAGCGAAAGCGAGUCUUAAUAGGGCGUUUAGUCGCUGGGUAUAGACCCGAAACCGGGCGAUCUAUCCAUGAGCAGGUUGAAGGUUAGGUAACACUGACUGGAGGACCGAACCCACUCCCGUUGAAAAGGUAGGGGAUGACUUGUGGAUCGGAGUGAAAGGCUAAUCAAGCUCGGAGAUAGCUGGUUCUCCUCGAAAGCUAUUUAGGUAGCGCCUCAUGUAUCACUCUGGGGGGUAGAGCACUGUUUCGGCUAGGGGGUCAUCCCGACUUACCAAACCGAUGCAAACUCCGAAUACCCAGAAGUGCCGAGCAUGGGAGACACACGGCGGGUGCUAACGUCCGUCGUGAAAAGGGAAACAACCCAGACCGCCAGCUAAGGUCCCAAAGUUGUGGUUAAGUGGUAAACGAUGUGGGAAGGCUUAGACAGCUAGGAGGUUGGCUUAGAAGCAGCCACCCUUUAAAGAAAGCGUAAUAGCUCACUAGUCGAGUCGGCCUGCGCGGAAGAUGUAACGGGGCUCAAACCACACACCGAAGCUGCGGGUGUCACGUAAGUGACGCGGUAGAGGAGCGUUCUGUAAGCCUGUGAAGGUGAGUUGAGAAGCUUGCUGGAGGUAUCAGAAGUGCGAAUGCUGACAUGAGUAACGACAAUGGGUGUGAAAAACACCCACGCCGAAAGACCAAGGGUUCCUGCGCAACGUUAAUCGACGCAGGGUUAGUCGGUUCCUAAGGCGAGGCUGAAAAGCGUAGUCGAUGGGAAACAGGUUAAUAUUCCUGUACUUCUGGUUACUGCGAUGGAGGGACGGAGAAGGCUAGGCCAGCUUGGCGUUGGUUGUCCAAGUUUAAGGUGGUAGGCUGAAAUCUUAGGUAAAUCCGGGGUUUCAAGGCCGAGAGCUGAUGACGAGUCGUCUUUUAGAUGACGAAGUGGUUGAUGCCAUGCUUCCAAGAAAAGCUUCUAAGCUUCAGGUAACCAGGAACCGUACCCCAAACCGACACAGGUGGUCGGGUAGAGAAUACCAAGGCGCUUGAGAGAACUCGGGUGAAGGAACUAGGCAAAAUGGCACCGUAACUUCGGGAGAAGGUGCGCCGGCUAGGGUGAAGGAUUUACUCCGUAAGCUCUGGCUGGUCGAAGAUACCAGGCCGCUGCGACUGUUUAUUAAAAACACAGCACUCUGCAAACACGAAAGUGGACGUAUAGGGUGUGACGCCUGCCCGGUGCCGGAAGGUUAAUUGAUGGGGUUAGCGCAAGCGAAGCUCUUGAUCGAAGCCCCGGUAAACGGCGGCCGUAACUAUAACGGUCCUAAGGUAGCGAAAUUCCUUGUCGGGUAAGUUCCGACCUGCACGAAUGGCGUAACGAUGGCGGCGCUGUCUCCACCCGAGACUCAGUGAAAUUGAAAUCGCUGUGAAGAUGCAGUGUAUCCGCGGCUAGACGGAAAGACCCCGUGAACCUUUACUGUAGCUUUGCACUGGACUUUGAGCCUGCUUGUGUAGGAUAGGUGGGAGGCUUUGAAGCGUGGACGCCAGUUCGCGUGGAGCCAUCCUUGAAAUACCACCCUGGCAUGCUUGAGGUUCUAACUCUGGUCCGUAAUCCGGAUCGAGGACAGUGUAUGGUGGGCAGUUUGACUGGGGCGGUCUCCUCCUAAAGAGUAACGGAGGAGUACGAAGGUGCGCUCAGACCGGUCGGAAAUCGGUCGUAGAGUAUAAAGGCAAAAGCGCGCUUGACUGCGAGACAGACACGUCGAGCAGGUACGAAAGUAGGUCUUAGUGAUCCGGUGGUUCUGUAUGGAAGGGCCAUCGCUCAACGGAUAAAAGGUACUCCGGGGAUAACAGGCUGAUACCGCCCAAGAGUUCAUAUCGACGGCGGUGUUUGGCACCUCGAUGUCGGCUCAUCACAUCCUGGGGCUGAAGCCGGUCCCAAGGGUAUGGCUGUUCGCCAUUUAAAGUGGUACGCGAGCUGGGUUUAGAACGUCGUGAGACAGUUCGGUCCCUAUCUGCCGUGGACGUUUGAGAUUUGAGAGGGGCUGCUCCUAGUACGAGAGGACCGGAGUGGACGAACCUCUGGUGUUCCGGUUGUCACGCCAGUGGCAUUGCCGGGUAGCUAUGUUCGGAAAAGAUAACCGCUGAAAGCAUCUAAGCGGGAAACUUGCCUCAAGAUGAGAUCUCACUGGGAACUUGAUUCCCCUGAAGGGCCGUCGAAGACUACGACGUUGAUAGGCUGGGUGUGUAAGCGUUGUGAGGCGUUGAGCUAACCAGUACUAAUUGCCCGUGAGGCUUGACCAU
rnacentral:rRNA from 1 species